rnacentral:rRNA from 1 species
UACGUAGGGUGCAAGCGUUGUCCGGAAUUAUUGGGCGUAAAGAGCUCGUAGGCGGUUUGUUGCGUCGGCUGUGAAAUCCCGAGGCUCAACCUCGGGUCUGCAGUCGAUACGAGCAAACUAGAGUGUUGCAGGGGAGACUGGAAUUCCUGGUGUAGCGGUGAAAUGCGCAGAUAUCAGGAGGAACACCGGUGGCGAAGGCGGGUCUCUGGGCAACAACUGACGCUGGAGGAGCGAAAGCCGUGGGGAGCGAACAGGA